CCGACCACCCUUGUGUGCACGCCUACUUUCCAAUGCAAAUUUAGAUUUGCAUGAGAAAUAUGCAUGCCAAAAGCCUUUUGUCGCCCACUCUCAAAACUCUUUAGAUGAGGAUCAAAUCUGAUUUGAUUUAAAUUCAAGUUGGACUUGGAUUUCACUUGAAACCAGACUCUUAUCUGAGUUCAAAAUUUAUUCGAACUUGAUCCUUAUCUCUCCAUCCAUGCCAUCUAUAAAAGGACUUGAUUUUUGUGCGAUAGAUAUCAGAUCAAAAAGAGAUCUUAUUCACCAUGAGUUAAGAUUUUGGGCAUGAGACCUUGGGGUUGGCGGCCAUCUUGUGUGUGUGAGCAUAGAGGAGUUCUUCCUCCUCUUGGGUGAGAGAAAAUCUAGAUCAGAUCUAGGGUUUUAUGAAGAGAGAAAAAAGAGAAAGAAAUUUUCCAUCUCCUUCUUUCAUUACCUCAUCUACCUCCUUGUCUGUCUUCGAUUUUGGAGGAGUUCAAGAAACCUGAAGAUAGGAGCAGAUCAGCCAUCCAGAGGUCUUUGUGUGAACUAGCAUUUUUUAAGAGAUUGAUCAGUGUAGGACUUCGAGUGGACCAACCAUAGAGGUCGGACAUCCUGUGCGGCUACGAGCAUCCUUCGAGUCCUUGUGAUUCAGAUGCGGAGACUUUCUACCAGCGCUCAUGUAUCAAGUGCUGAACUUGAUCUCUAUGUAGAUGUAAUCUACUGAUGCAUGUAUGAUGUGAUCAUACCUAUAGAUUUUUGCUUUC
rnacentral:lncRNA from 1 species